rnacentral:hammerhead_ribozyme from 1 species
ACCUUGCUAACGAGUGCCAAGUAGCACGAAACCCGGGUCCAAGGU